rnacentral:rRNA from 1 species
GGGGGGACCAUCCUCCAAGGCUAAAUACUCCUGACUGACCGAUAGUGAACCAGUACCGUGAGGGAAAGGCGAAAAGAACCCCGGCGAGGGGAGUGAAAAAGAACCUGAAACCGUGUACGUACAAGCAGUGGGAGCACCCUUCGGGGUGUGACUGCGUACCUUUUGUAUAAUGGGUCAGCGACUUAUAUUCUGUAGCAAGGUUAACCGGAUAGGGGAGCCGCAGGGAAACCGAGUCUUAACUGGGCGAAUUAGUUGCAGGGUAUAGACCCGAAACCCGGUGAUCUAGCCAUGGGCAGGUUGAAGGUUGGGUAACACUAACUGGAGGACCGAACCGACUAAUGUUGAAAAAUUAGCGGAUGACUUGUGGCUGGGGGUGAAAGGCCAAUCAAACCGGGAGAUAGCUGGUUCUCCCCGAAAGCUAUUUAGGUAGCGCCUCGUGAACUCAUCUCCGGGGGUAGAGCACUGUUUCGGCUAGGGGGUCAUCCCGACUUACCAACCCGAUGCAAACUGCGAAUACCGGAGAAUGUUAUCACGGGAGACACACGGCGGGUGCUAACGUUCGUCGUGAAGAGGGAAACAACCCAGACCGCCGGCUAAGGUCCCAAAGUCAUAAUUAAGUGGGAAACGAAGUGGGAAGGCUCAGACAGCCAGGAUGUUGGCUUAGAAGCAGCCAUCAUUUAAAGAAAGCGUAAUAGCUCACUGGUCGAGUCGGCCUGCGCGGAAGAUGUAACGGGGCUAAAUUAUGCACCGAAGCCGCGGCAGCGAUAUGUAAAUAUUGUUGGGUAGGGGAGCGUUCUGUAAGCCUGUGAAGGUGUGCUGUGAGGCAUGCUGGAGGUAUCAGAAGUGCGAAUGCUGACAUAAGUAACGAUAAUGCGGGUGAAAAACCCGCACGCCGGAAGACCAAGGGUUCCUGUCCAACGUUAAUCGGGGCAGGGUGAGUCGACCCCUAAGGCGAGGCUGAAAAGCGUAGUCGAUGGGCAACGGGUUAAUAUUCCCGUACUGGUGGUAACUGCGAAGGGGGGACGGAGAAAGCUAAAUCAUCCGGGCGACGGUUGUCCCGGUUUAAGCGUGCAGGUGGACUGACCAGGCAAAUCCGGUCGGUUGUUAACACUGAGGCGUGACGACGAGCCACUACGGUGGUGAAGUGAUUGAUGCUCUGCUUCCGGGAAAAGCCUCUAAGCUCCAGGUUACCAUUAAUCGUACCCCAAACCGACACAGGUGGUCAGGUAGAGAAUACUCAGGCGCUUGAGAGAACUCGGGUGAAGGAACUAGGCAAAAUGGUGCCGUAACUUCGGGAGAAGGCACGCUGGCAUUAGGUGAAGUGGUUUACCCACGGAGCUGAAGCCAGCCGCAGAUACCAGCUGGCUGCAACUGUUUAUUAAAAACACAGCACUGUGCAAACACGAAAGUGGACGUAUACGGUGUGACGCCUGCCCGGUGCCGGAAGGUUAAUUGAUGAGGUUAGCGUAAGCGAAGCUUCUGAUCGAAGCCCCGGUAAACGGCGGCCGUAACUAUAACGGUCCUAAGGUAGCGAAAUUCCUUGUCGGGUAAGUUCCGACCUGCACGAAUGGCGUAAUGAUGGCCAGGCUGUCUCCACCCGAGACUCAGUGAAAUUGAACUCGCUGUGAAGAUGCAGUGUACCCGCGGCAAGACGGAAAGACCCCGUGAACCUUUACUAUAGCUUGACACUGAACAUUGAGCCUUGAUGUGUAGGAUAGGUGGGAGGCAACGAAGCGUGGACGCCAGUCUGCACGGAGCCAUCCUUGAAAUACCACCCUUUAACGUUUGAUGUUCUAACCCGGGUCCAUAAUCUGGAUCGGGGACCGUGUCUGGUGGGUAGUUUGACUGGGGCGGUCUCCUCCC